ACCUCUUCCCAUUCCGAACAGAGAAGUUAAGCCCGAUAGCGCCGAUGGUACUGCCUUUUUGGUGGGAGAGUAGGUCGACGCCAACU
rnacentral:rRNA from 1 species